rnacentral:tRNA from 1 species
GGAGAGGUGCCGGAGUGGUUUAUCGGGGCGCUCUCGAAAAGCGUUGUGGCCUGACUGGUCACCGUGGGUUCGAAUCCCACCCUCUCCG